rnacentral:rRNA from 1 species
GGUUAAGCUACAAAGGGCGCAUGGCGAAUGCCUUGGCACUAGGAGCCGAAGAAGGACGCGUUAAGCUGCGAUAAGCUUUGGGUAGGCGCAAAUAGCCAGUGAUCCAAAGAUUUCCGAAUGGGGGAACCCACAUAGUAACAACUAUGUACUGCAUACUGAAUAAAUAGGUAUGYAGAGGUAGACCCGGGGAACUGAAACAUCUAAGUACCCGGAGGAAGAGAAAGAAACAUCGAUUUCCUAAGUAGCGGCGAGCGAAAGGGAAAGAGCCCAAACCUAGGCCUUUGGCCUAGGGGUUGAGGAUAGAUCAUAAAUACUGCAAUUCCUUAAUUGAAGAUAGCUGGAAAGCUGCUCCGCAGAAGGUAAUAGGCCUGUAAAUGAAAAGGAAAAACAGUCAGAUCUAAUCCAGA